GUGAGGAAUAUUGGUCAAUGGGCGGGAGCCUGAACCAGCCAAGUCGCGUGAAGGAAGAAGGAUCUAUGGUUCGUAAACUUCUUUUGCAGGGGAAUAAAGUGCAGGACGUGUCCUGUUUUGUAUGUACCCUGAGAAUAAGGAUCGGCUAACUCCGUGCCAGCAGCCGCGGUAAUACGGAGGAUCCGAGCGUUAUCCGGAUUUAGUGGGUUUAAAGGGUGCGUAGGUGGUUUGAUAAGUCAGCGGUGAAAGUUUGCAGCUUAACUGUAAAAAUGCCGUUGAAACUGUCGGACUUGAGUGUAAAUGAGGUAGGCGGAAUGCGUGGUGUAGCGGUGAAAUGCAUAGAUAUCACGCAGAACUCCGAUUGCGAAGGCAGCUUACUAAGCUACAACUGACACUGAAGCACGAAAGCGUGGGGAUCAAACAGGAUUAGAAACCCCUGUAGUCC
rnacentral:rRNA from 1 species